AUGGUUAUUUUCAGUAUAAUCACCUCUGAACUCAACACAAUUAAUCUAGUAAUUGGCAAGUUUUUUGAAUUUGCCAAAGAAAAAUGUAUUAAGAAAAUGAUUUCAGACAAAAUUUGCUACAUUAAUAAUGUCUGUUUUAUUGUUGGACUUUUAAAUUCACAGGAGUUAGCUAAGUUAUUGAAUCACAUGCAAAUAAGGACAUGCACCAUGCAACUGUUCUGUUCUAGUUAAUGAAAUGUGAAUGGAAGUGAUAUGCACCAGUUCCUGGCCUGGACCAUAAAACCCUGGGACACAUGAUCCUCCAUCCUUUUUCACCUUCAGCCAGCUUGAUAUACAUGAGCAUGGUAAGUCUAGAAGCCAAUAGUCGAAGAUGGUGGAGCCAUGAGAUGGAAGGAGCCUGGAUUCUCAAAUCACCACAUGGAAAUUAGAGCCCUAGCCUUUUGUCUAGGACUAUAUUUUAGACUUCAUGUGAGCUAAAAAUAACCUUUCGUUUGAGCUAUAACACAUUUUUUAGUUUAAUUACAGCAUCUAGCAAAAACAGCAGCCAGCAAUGUCUCAACUAUUGCAACAAAAGCAAAUUGUAAAUUCCUUGUGGGAAAUUAUUUAUAUGUUCAUAUUUUCACAGCACAGAGAAUUCCCUUUUAUCAUUUAUAUAAACAACUAUAUCUAAUAAAUGAUUCCUGAUAUUUACAAUUAAAGUAGUAUUGCUUACUUUUGUGAAGAAUCAAAUCCAUGCUCAUUAUACUUUCAUUCCCAUGUAUUUCUCUAAAGUCCUCUCCAGCUUUAUUAUUCUCCCAGAGCUGAAACUGGGCUCUUAAGUAGUUAACUUUAAUUCAUCUCCAUCUCAGUCCUGAUAUGUGCUAGAUUUUGCCUUAUAUUUUUCUUUCCCUCAAAACUUCCAUACCACUAUGUGGGGAAGAGUGUUUAUUAUGCUUCCUCCAAUGUUCAUUGUCCACUUGAACCACUGUAAGAGAACCCCUUUUAGAUUAAUAUAUGGCCAACCAAAAUAAAUGCUUCACUACCCAGGAUGCCUUGUAUCUGGCUCGGCUGUUACCAAAUGGAUGUAAACAGAAAUUUGUGCAACUUCCAGAGGUAUCCUCUUUCUCGAUUGCUAGAAUGUGGAUGUGACUGCUGGAGUUCCAGCAGUCAUCUCAGACCUUAAGUUGACCUUGAUGAGCACAGAAGCUCCGCAUGGCAGAAAUACGAGAUAAAAAGAGGCUGAACUAUACCAAACCAGAAGAUCUUAUAUCGCUUUUACAUAUGAGAGAAAUCAAUCUCUCCCUAAUACAGUUCUUCUUGUUUUGGGUUUUUCUCAUAAAACUCAAACAUAAUUCUAAGUAUAUAUCUAAGUAUCCUAAAUAAAUAUACCUGCUAGAUUUUAGUUGGAUGUCUAUAGUUCUAAAUCAUUAUUCAAGAACCAUAUAUUUGAUGGAAAUUUUUUCCCAAUUGGAGAGAACUCAUUGUGCAUUGCUUGUAAUGUAAUAAGGUUGUAUGAUAUUCAGCCACAAAAAAGAAAAAAAUAGAUUUUUAUCUGAGGAUUCAUUCAGAAAGACUUAUCUUUUCUCCCAGAGCUAUAACUGGGCUCUUAAGGAGUUAAGUUUAAUUCAUGAGCUGGUUCUUAGAUGUUGAUGUUAACUCUCAAACUCAAGCUGCACACACACACGCAAAGAGAGAGUAAAGAACAGAUUUGUUUCUCCAACUGGAUGGAGAACUUUCUGAGCAUAAAACAAUGAAAAUGUGCAUCUCACCCAAGCUCUCUGAUUCUACCAUUUAACUCUAAAUCCCAUCAGUACCCUUCUGCAGACAGUUACUCAAGAUACUUCUGUCUGAAUCAUUUACUAUCUUCGCAUAUUUUUUGGCUCAGUAUAGUCCAAACAUCAAAGAUGAUACAAUAAAAAGAGCACUGAAAUCAGACUGACCUGAAUUUACCAACCACAUGGUAAUUACGUGUUACUUAAUCACUUAGUUUAUUUCAUCUAUAAAAUACAUUUCUACCUCAUAGAGUUGUUGAAAGAACUAAAUGAGAUAAGUCAGUGCAUGCAAAAAUAUGCAUUAAAGUGUUUUACAGAAUAUUUGUGCUAAAUAAUUGUUGACAGAUUUCCUUUUUAAUUGAACUUUCUGUUUUACCCACUGUUUUCCUCUUAAAAGCAACCAUUCUAAUAAAAUAUUCACAAUGGAGAAAAAUUAAAGAGGAUCAUCUUAAUAUUUUGCAGGGGCUACAAAGUGAGGGUUAUCUACAAGGAAGCUCUAAAUAAUUUUUUUUACACUAUUCACUGUUGAUCUCAAAUGUAAGUAUCACUGCUCAUGGAUAAAAUAAUCCCUAGGAAAUAACUCAAGAAGAACUGCAACCUCUGAAAUAACUAUGCCAAUGUCUAGAAAGUCACUUUAGAAACACUUCUGGCUUCUAUUAAAUUUCUAUCCAGU
rnacentral:lncRNA from 1 species